AUGGACAGCACCUCAGAAAUAUUCAGAUUCCUACUGUUCAAGUAUAUAUAUGUAAUACUAAAUGGAAGAAGGAACAAUCCUAAACAUAAUACAGCAGAUGAAAGAUUUCUCUUUUAUCUCAGUAAUGGAACACUUAGGAUACAUAACCUGAGCAGUACAGACAGCGAAGGAGGUAUUUUGCCAGUGAUCUGUGGUGUUCUGUCAGCACUGGUGAUUUUAUUAGUUGUGGGUGUAGCUGUCAUCUGUUUUGAGAGGAGAAAAAACAAAACAAAACAAAAAGGUACAAAACUUGCUUUUCAAUCACCUCACUCAGAUUGGCCUUUUGCUCUUCUUGUAGAUAUACAGAAUCAUAUUUUGCUUCUUUUUUUUGAAGACACUUUUUUGCUUUCUUGCUAAUGAUUUCUUCAUAAUGUCAUCAUAUUUCAUUGAAAUAUGUGGGUAUUGCUAACCAGUCAGCUCUAAUGCAGUGAAAACAUAAUCAAAACAGGUCAGAAAAGCAAGUUUCAGAAAAACGAUUACCUUAAUGAUUCAUUGAUGUUAAUUUUAUCUUGCUUCUAUGCAGAGGAAGAUGACCAGGAAGUAACGUACGCUGAUGUUAGGGUCAGGCAGCAGCAGGAGAAGCCAGUGAAGGGAAGAGAAGAGGAAGUGGAGUAUGGCCAAGUGAAACUUUCACAGUGAUCUCAUCAGAAUGAACCAGCAUGAUGAUUGUACAGGAAGAUUGUUUGUAUGGCAAAAUCCUUAAAAUCAGCUGAUUUAGAUGGUCAGUGCUUUUAUACGGACUGCACCACUAAAUGCCCACAGAGGGAGGAAGUGAAGUGCUAAAAUCCCUAAACAAACCAUCAAAACUCACAAAUACUGAUUUUCUUUGCUUCAUCUUUAUUUUUGUAUUACAACGGCGCAUAAAUUCAUCAUUUAAAUGGAAAUAAUUCAAGUAAUAACACUGAAGUUUUGUAUGAAUUAAAGUGGAGCAACAACGCUGAGCAUGACAACCCAUCCAGAUGUUACAGUUACAGAAUAUGAGAAAGCCUUGGUUUCAUCAAUGAUUAAUACUUUUUACUCUGUAAACAAAGACACGUCACUUUUUUAUUUAAAGACAAUUCAGAUUUAUUUAUAUAGAACCAAAUCAUAACAUGUCAAAAAACCCUACAAUGAUACAGAUAUGAGCAUGGCCAAUUACUUGUUAUAGUGACAAUAAUACCAUAUUGAUAAUGUUUUGUCAUCAGUCUGGGAUCUACAUAUGUGUUCGUCAGUGUUAUGGUGUAAAAAUCUCUUUAUGCUGAAUCAAAAAUAUAGUACUGUGAAUAAUGCUUCUGUUAUGCUAAAGAUGUUUUUUCUUUUAUUUUAAUUGACUGGGUUUUCAUAUAUUUUGCUUCUCUAUAGUUACACAGUCACAACAUAUUUGUAACAUUUAUUUUUGUGCAUUUGGUGAUUUACAGAAGUUGUCAUGGUCCCUGGGUCUCGGUAUUGAAGUUUGGGAUUUUUUAUAAGUUUGGAUUUUAGGUUAUCUUUGGAUUAGGUUUCUGUUAUUUUUACUAUUUAGUUUUCUGUUCACAUAAUAGUUUAUUCCUUUGUCUGUAUAUGUUUUUUUUUCUAGCCUUUUUGUUUCUGCCAUCGGUUCUUGGCUCUACUGAUGACUUUAAAUUUAGUUAGUUCCCCUUUCCAAUGUGUUCCUCCUUCUGUCUUAUCUCUGUCCUUUUCUUUCAGUGUUUCCUCAUUUCUGUCGACAUCUCUCAUGCUGUUUUCUUGUCUGCUUCCUUUAGUUACGCUCUUGUUUAACCGUUUAAAGACAAACUGCAUCAUGUUCAGUUUUCUUAAGAGUUUCUGAGACUUCAACAUCAUCACUUUGUUUUUUUGGUUCAGGCUUAAAGAGCUCAGUUCAGUUCAUGUUCAGUUUUUCUUAAUGAGGUUUUUAGCUUUUCUUCCUGGCUUUGCUCUCACUGAUUACCUGAUUAUCAGCCCAUCUGUCUCCUUUUCUCUGACUAACUAAUACUUUGACAUGACUGAAUGAUGUAAUUACUUUGUUUCUUAUCUCUUUAGAGUCUGUUUCACUUACAUGUUUUAUCACCAUUAAUGAUUUACUCUUUUCAAAAUAAUUACACUUCUAAUAUGUCAGUUGAAUUGCCUUUUUGUCAUGAUAAAAUAACAAUAAAUAAUUAUUAAAGUUUCAGUGAGUAAUCUAUAAUUUUUAUGGUAAGCUGUGUGGAAGACAGGGGUCGGAG
rnacentral:lncRNA from 1 species